CGGAGGAUCCAAGCGUUAUCCGGAAUCAUUGGGUUAAGGUCCGUAGGCGGGACAAUAAGUCAGCGGUGAAAGUCUGUGGCUCAACCAUAGAAUUGCCAUUGAUACUGUUGUUCUUGAGUGUUAUGAAGUGGUUAGAAUAUGUAGUGUAGCGGUGAAAUGCUUAGAUAUUACAUGGAAUACCGAUUGCGAAGGCAGAUCACUAAUAAAUACUGACGCUGAUGGACGAAAGCGUAGGUAGCGAACAGGAUU
rnacentral:rRNA from 1 species